GUGUCAGCAGCCGCGGUAAUACGGAGGGUGCGAGCGUUGUCCGGAAUCACUGGGCGUAAAGGGCGCGUAGGUGGCGCGGGAAGUCAACGGUGAAAGUUCAGGGCUCAACCCUGAAUCGGCCGUCGAUACUCCCGGGCUUGAGCACUGUAGAGGCAGAUGGAAUUCCGGGUGUAGCGGUGGAAUGCGUAGAGAUCCGGAAGAACACCGGUGGCGAAGGCGGUCUGCUGGGCAGUUGCUGACACUGAUGCGCGACAGCGUGGGGAGCAAACAGGAUUAGAUACCCUGGUAGUCCACGCCGUAAACGAUGGGUACUAGAUGCUUGGGGGAGCGACCCCCUGAGUGUCGGCGCUAACGCAUUAAGUACCCCGCCUGGGGAGUACGGCCGCAAGGCUGAA
rnacentral:rRNA from 1 species